rfam:Erythranthe guttata cultivar DTN x IM62 scaffold_62_contig_20, whole genome shotgun sequence.
GCUGGAAUAACUUAGUUGGUUAAAGCGUGUGGCUGUUAACCACAAGGUCGGAGGUUUGAUCCCUCCUUCUAGCG